rnacentral:rRNA from 1 species
GCUGGCGGCAGGCUUACACAUGCAAGUCGAGCGCCCCGCAAGGGGAGCGGCAGACGGGUGAGUAACGCGUGGGAAUCUACCUUUUGCUACGGAAUAACUCAGGGAAACUUGUGCUAAUACCGUAUGUGCCCUUCGGGGGAAAGAUUUAUCGGCAAAGGAUGAGCCCGCGUUGGAUUAGCUAGUUGGUGGGGUAAAGGCCCACCAAGGCGACGAUCCAUAGCUGGUCUGAGAGGAUGAUCAGCCACACUGGGACUGAGACACGGCCCAGACUCCUACGGGAGGCAGCAGUGGGGAAUAUUGGACAAUGGGCGCAAGCCUGAUCCAGCCAUGCCGCGUGAGUGAUGAAGGCCCUAGGGUUGUAAAGCUCUUUCACCGGUGAAGAUAAUGACGGUAACCGGAGAAGAAGCCCCGGCUAACUU